CGGAAUGUAGCUUAAUGGUUAGAGCGUUCCGUUGUCUGCGGAGAAGGUGCCAGUUCGAGUCUGGUCAUUCUGG
rnacentral:tRNA from 1 species